UGAUUUGGUGGGGGUAGGAGGGCAGGGGAGGGCAGGCAAGGGCAGACAGGAUGGCUGUGAGCGGGCAGAACAGCCCCUGGCUGGACAGACCCCAUUCAGCUGGACCCUUGAGCUGGUGUCCCACUGUGCGCUCCCACCCCACACGGCAAUUCCACUGCAGGCUUGGGGAUAGUAGCCCCAUCAAGCCCAUACCUGAGGCAGACCACGCUGUGUGAUCCUCCAAGAAGGCAAAUAAUUUCUUCUGUCAAUGGCUAUGAUUCCCCGGAAGAUAUUGAUGCAUUUGGGAGUAUAAUUUGGCAGAGGAAGGAGAUAACCUGAAACCACAGACUGCCCUAAACACUCUAUUACGAACAAAGAGAAAACAGCUGAAUUGAGUUGGAGGAAAGCCUUGUUGAAUGAUAAAUUGCCAGACCCUUCGAGGCUCAGGAGGUUUCAGUCCAUUCACCCCAGCUGCAUUUUUAUGAAUACUUGAGGAAAGAACUUUGAAACUGAAAGACUCUGACUCAUGGUUUGACUGUCUGCAUUGGUUCCCAAAGGUGGCCUGAGUCUUAAGAAUCACAGCUGGGAAAUUUGCUGUGUGCAGAUCCCUAGACCCGGGCCCUUCAUGAUGGUCUGCUCUGAUCCUCAUGCAAAAUUGAAUCAUCCAAAAACACUGCCAAUACUUGUGUUCCAACUUAAGCUAUGCAUUUAAUUUAAGAGUCAUGAUUCUAGAAAUUUCUCUUCUGACCAAGGAAGGCAAUUGUGAAUGCAAGAGAAGGCUUUGAGUCAACCUUGCAAGGCUAUGUGUCCUUUUGAGUUGUUCAUUCUUUGAGUUUGGGUUCUAGGGGCAUUUGUCUUAUUUUCUUCUUUCCACCAUCUUGGAAGUCUCUUGAGAGACGUUUCUACCCACCCCUCCAGGUCCUUGGUCAUUAGUGAGCAUGUACACUAUGUUUGAAAGACAGAAUCAAUGGCCAAAGAGAAAUUUAGCAGAUGAAAAACAGAUAAAUCUACCAUAGCAAUUGAUUUGAGUGUUACAGAAGCCCUUAACUUUAAAAGAAACUUUUCGGCAGAUGGGGAGAAGGUGCAGUGAUGUCAAACGUAGCAGAAUUCAUCCUCUACAGAGAAUUAAGCCCUUCACAUGCACAAGGCUGCCUGCCACUCCUGGGCAUAGCUGGUGCUUGUUCUUAUCUCUUCUGUUGUCUGCUGUUUGGGUUCAAACUUGGCCUGAGCCCUAGUGGCUGGAAGCCAUCACUUCACAUUUGCAGAUAAAUGAUAUCAAUGUGUUUAAGACAUUCCAGAAAAACAAUAAUAAUAAUAAAAUAUUUGUGGUUUUGAUGGAGGGAAACAGAUGAAACAUGAAUGCUACAGUGCUGAGGAUUCUUCAAGGUGAAUGGCUUGUGUGGAGAUAUCUUACCUUAUUUUUGUGUAUAUAGAAAGUGGCAAAGAAUGAAACACUGUAGAGGGGAAAAAAGACACUGAAUUACUUCCUCACUACUCCUAGAAAACAAACAAGCUUUCUGCUGCUUGCUAGAAUUUUCUGUGCUUUAAAAAUGACUUUGAAGAUAACAUUCACAAUAGCUUCAAAAAAUGCCUAUAAAUAAGUCUAACUAAGGGGGUGAAAAGUACCUACAGUGAAAACUUUAAGAUACUGAGUAAACCAAGGAAGAUGUUAGAAGAUCUUCUAAGCUCAUGGAUAAGCAGAAUUAAUAGUGUGAAAGUAGCGACAUUAUUGAAAGUCAUCUACAGAUUCACUCUAAUCCCCAUCAAAUUCCAGUAAUGUUCUUCACAGAGCUAGAAAAAUAAUCCUAAAAUUCAUACUGAAAAACAAAAGCUCCAAAAAGCUAAAGUGAUCCUUACCAAAAAGAGGAGAAAUGCUGUUAAGUAUCACUAUGCCUUAUUCUAAAUUAUAUCACAGAGCUGUUGUAACAAAAACAGCACGGUGGUACAAAAUGGAAUUUAGAUCAAUGGAAUGGAAUAGAGGACCCAUACAUAAAUUUAAGUAGCUAAAGUGACCUGACAUUUGACAAAGUUGUCAAAAACACACAUUGGAGAAAAGGCAGCCACUUUAACUAAGAGUGCUAGGAGAACUGAAUGUCUACAUGGAGAAGAAGAAUACUAGAUUCAUAUCUCUCACCUUGCACACAAAAUAAAAAACAAGUCCUUAAGUGGAAGAUACAAAACUCUGAAACUUUUAGAAUAAAAGAUAAAAGACAAACAAACACUUUUCAAGCUAUAAGCUAAAGUGAAGACGUUCUGAACAGGUCUCUAGGCUCCCCCGAAAAGGCCAAGAAACUGAUAAGCACAAAUGAGACCUCAUGAAAUUAAAAAGCUUCUGCACAGAAAAGAAAGCAGUCAGCUGAGUGAAGAGAACCUACAAAAUGGGAUAGAAUUUUGGCUCACUAUACAUUUGAGAGAGGAUUGAUAUUAGUAAGCAUUCUUAUUUAGAGAACUCAAAAACCUAAACAAUAAUAAAUAGAAUAACUCAAUCGAUAAAUGAGCUAAUGAACUUAACAGACAGUUCUCAAAAUAUGAAGUGUAAAUGACCAAUAAACAUAGGAAAUCUUCAAUUUCACCACUUGUGAGGAUUAGUUUUGACUGUUGACUGGACAUAAUGUAGAAUCAUGGGGAGUGGGGAGGGGCGGUGCAGCAUCAGUGAGGAAUUAUUUAGAUCAGGUUGGCCUGUGGACCUGCCUGUGAGGGAUGUUUAUAGAUGGAUAUUUCCCUGUCCCAACUGCUCGGUCCCGAAUAACUAAUCCAGAGGAUUAAUAUUAGUUAUAAAUGCUCAGUCGAUAGCUCAAGUUUGUUACUAGCUAACUCUUACACUUAACUCAUUUCUAUUUAUGCUUUGCCACAUGGCCCAUGGCUUGUUACCCUCAUUUUCUACAUGUCCUGCUUAUUCAGUGACUAGCUUGUGUCUCUCCUGACUCCACCCUCCUUUUUCCCAUCAUUCUCAGUUUUGCUUUCCCACCUAACUUUUUGCCCAGCCUGUCAGCUUUUUAUUAACCAAUGAGAGUAAUACAUACUCAUAGUGUCGAAAAGAAUUGUUCCACAGCAGAUGUUCUUUGAAAUAAUUGAAGUAGGAAGAUCCACUGUGGAUGUGGGGGGCACCAUUUCAUGAGCUGGACCUUGGACCAGGUGAGAAAGGGAGAGACAGCUGAACACUAGCAUGAAUGUAUUAGUUCACUGUUUUCUGCUCUUGCUAUGGAAGUAAUGUGACUGUUUCAAGUUACUGCUGCCUAGACUUGCCCACAAUGAUGGCCUGGUAUUAUGAGCCAAAUAAAUAUAUUCUCUCUAAAGCUGAUUUCAACAAGAAUGAAAAUAAGACAUUAAAUGUCAGAGAAAUGCAAAUUAAAAUUAUAUUGAGAGUCCUUUUAACCACAGGCAGAAUGAGAAUGGUCCUAUCAAUAGUCAGCCGAGGAGGGAGGAUGGGCUCAUGGGUCCCUACCUUUGCCACUGAACUACGAGCUAUGAGUAGACUCUGAGAAAGGGGGAGUCACUGUCUUUAGUGGUAUCCCUCUCCUAAGCCUACCAUGCUCCAAUGAUAAGCCCCAAACCUACAGUCAUACAGAUGGCCCUGAUUCAUCUUGGUGGAUUCCUAAAUAAAAGGAAUAGAUAGAAAUGAAAAUAAGGAUUUGUGGAGAGAGAGGUAAGAGAGUAUACAGGGUGGUAAGGAGGUAGAGACUGAGAGUGGUCAGUAUGCAUGGUAUACAUAUGAGAAAUUAUAUUAUACAAUUAUAUCUUGUAUUAUUAUAUGAGAGAGAGAGAGAGAGAGAGAGAGAGAGAGAGAGAAUAUAAACUAGUGCAGCCACCACGAAAGUCGGUGUGGAGGUUUCUCAGACAAUAAAAAAUUAAAUCUCCCAUGUGAUCUAGCUGUAGCCCUCCUGGGUAUUUAUCCAACGAACUCUAAGUCAGCGUACUGUAGAGCUACCUGCACAUUUAUGUUUGUUGCAGGACUCUUCACAACAGCUAAAGGAUUAAACCAACAGACAUGUCUCACGACAGAGGAAUGGGUGUAAAAUAUGGUGUAUACACAAAAUGGAUUCGUUUCAACCAUGAAGGAGAAAUCAAGUUGCUUGCAUGAAAAGGAUGCAACUGUGGAUAAUCCUCUCUGAAGUUGGUCAAGCGAGUCUCAGAAAGAAUGAUGCUAUGCUUUUUGUUGCUUCUUGCUCCUAGAGUUUCUAGAGCUGCAUAAAGUCAUGUCUACAUUUAUGAGGGGAAAGUAGAAAUGAAACUGUCUAGGGGAACAAAGGGGAGAAACGGGAAUGGAGAAGGGUGGCAGGGGAGGGAGAGCAGGGGUGAUGGAGGGCCAGUAUACUUAACACACAAUAGGCAACUGUAUGAGUACUUAAAAAAUAGUUUCUUCAAGAAAACAUAAAAUUGACUUGAAAAACUAUGAACUCUGAGUUAUCACUAAAGAUAGUAAAGGCCAAUGAUGAGAAGAAAUUUGGCUCCUUCUUUUACCCUAUUCAGUCUGACUGUUCAGUUAACGAGUUAUGCUUGUUAGAAAAUUUACCUGCUUUGCCAAGUGACAAAGCUUUAUCAUCCAGGAUUAAUGGGAUUUGGGAUACAGAAAUAUUUACAAUGAAUUUUACUUAUCUGCCUUAACUACUUUCCUACUGCUGUGAUAAAACACAAUGACCAAAAAGCAACUUGUGGAGGAAAGGGUUUAUUUUAUUUUACAGCUUGUAGUCCAUCAUCCAGGGACAUCAAAGCAAGAACUCACGCAUGGCAGGGACUGAUGACAAGGCCAUGGAGGAGUGCUGUUUACUGGCUUGCUCUCCAUUCUCAGCCUGCUUUCUUAUACUAUCCUGGAUCACCAGCCCUGUGGCACCACCCACAGUGAUCUGGCCCCUCCCACAUCAAUCAUCAAUCAAGAAAAUGCACCACUAGCUUGCCCACGGGCCAAUCUAGUAGGGAAUCUUUCUCAAUUGAAGUUCUCUCUUCUCAAAUGACUCUAGCCUAUGUCAAGUUGACAUAAAACUAGCCAACAUAUUAUGCAUUUCCUCAAGUUCCCUGAGAUUUAUAGUAUGUCAUAAUUCCUUUUGACCAUAUACUUCUUACAAUGCAUGGAACACAUGUUGGUGGGUUUGUGGUGUGUGUAAUUGUGUCCUCAUGACAGUGACAGUAGUUCAGCAAGGCGGAGAUUAAGCCAAAUGUUUAUCUUCAGAAACAGAGACUUGGGGAUAAUUUUUCUAUCAAGCAAGGGACAACGAUAGACUUCACCCAGGAUCUUAUUUCAGAGUCAAUUCUCUUUCUUCAGCACAAGAAGUUGGCAAUAGGAAGACUUUUAGAGUGGGAAGGUGAGUGAUAAUUGGGGCUGUUGCUGGGAUAGUAAAGACUUGAACAUCUGAGUGAAGAAUUUGAAAAGGGUGCUCAUUCAUGAAGGCUGUACUAUGUUUCUAUAUCCUGCUUAGGGACCUCUUACCUUGUUUAUAGCAGCCCACCCCAUACUAUUCAAUGGCUGGGACCAUGGCUAAAAUUUUAGAGCAAUCCUUACAUAGAACCUGGAAAACAUGCUCCACCAUCUCUCAUACAAAUACAGACGUGUUUCCCUACCCUCUAGCCAGAAGAUCACAUGCUUUAAACCUCAAGACUAGUAUUAUAUUACUACUACACAUAUUCUUUUGCCUGUGACCAAUUGCAUAAUUCCAAGUCCAGGGGAUAAGGCUUACCCAUAUGGUUAAACCCAAAACUGAACACCAUCUUGAUGUCACACAAGCCCUCAGAGUCAUUACCCCGUACUUGCCUUCCUGGCAGCACUGAACAAACUGGUACCAGCCCCAUGUGUUUCAUAACCUCAGUUCAUACACAAGGACCCCAUCAGCUGAACUGCUCUGACUCGCAUUUGGUUCCUGAAAUCCAAAGUGACAAUUCUUUGAACCUCAGUUUCCUCAUUUGGCAUGAGGAAACAUCUCAUUAGAAUGAGAUCAUCUCUUCUUUUUGCAGAAUUGUUUUCAAGAUUAAGGAACAUUCCAUAUGGUUAUUGGUCUACUUUGCCUCUCUGUUGCUGUGAGAAAACACUGACCAAAAACAACUUGGGGGAGGAAGACAUUUUAUUUGGCUCACAGGCUACAGUCCAUCAUCAAGGAAGCCAAGACAGGAAGCAGACACCACAGAGGAACACUGCUUGUUGGUUUGCUCUACCUGGGAUGCUCAGGCAUCUUUCUUACAUAGCCAAGGCUCACCUGCCUAGAGAUGGCACUGCCCAUAGUGGGAUAGGCCCUCCUAAAACUAUUAUCAAUUAAGAAAAUGCCUCACAGGCAAAGCCACAGAUCAAAAGGAUCUCUUCAGUUCUUCAGUUGAGGUUUCUUCCCAGGUGACUCUAGGAUUGUGUCAAGUUGGCAGCUGAAGCUGUUAUCCUAUGUAAGUCACUUGUCACUCUAUCCAGCUCAUAGUAUAACUAUAAUAAAUAAUGAGCAUUGUAAUAAUGGUAGUACUAACAUGUAAUGUAUGUUAUUAUAAUCAGAAACUCUGAUGUCUUGAGAUCUGAAUUGACUAUUCUGUAGUUGAAUUUGCUUUUAAUAACAGCAGCAUGAAAAUUUAAUCAGCUAAAGAAUAUUGCAUGUCCUAUUCUAUGUUUUUUUCUCCCAAAUGAACGUUUAUUGUUAAGUACUGUGAGAGUUACAUAGAAGAAAGAGGAAGAUCUCCUUCUAUACCUGCAGGACAAUAGCCUCUCACGGUGGACACAAGACAUAUAUGUAUUAAACUAGUGAGCAUACAUCUUAAUCUGGGAGAAGUCAAAUGCAAUAAUUUGAAAAAAAAUUCAAGAUCCUCUCUUGCCAGUUGUAUGAAAUUUGGCGGUCCCUAGAGACUGUCCCUGUUGUCAUUCUCCAGCCCUGGCAUCCAGAGCCCAAGCAUUCUUAGUGGAAGCAUCAUUGGGAUGCAGCCCAUUCCAUUAGCAGAGGGAAUAGUAAUACAUAAAUGGACGAUUAUGUGAAAAUUGGUGAGGGAGAGAGGGCACAUGACAGAGGCUUGGGUGCAUCAGCUGAAGCUCAGACCCACUCACCAUUUCCCAGGGACCGCAAGUUAAGUCUCUUUGAAAUAAGUUUCCUCACCCAUCUUGCAACAUUUAUGAUUGUAUGGCCAUUUUUUGUUGUUGUUGUUCAUCACAAUCUGCUUCAUAACAAAAUAAAUGCCACCUCGCCAAAGGAAACGAGACAUUGGCAAUUCUCAUGCCUUCCCAGACCUUGUCCAGGAGCCAUCACAGUAACAACAUAAACAAAUAGAUCACCAGCCCAGCUCCCUCUCCCCUCGAUUGCCUCCUUUUCCUUUCACUCUGAAUGCUCCAGCAGAGUGCAGAGGAUUUCACAGUUCCUCCAGCUCUGGAAAAAUCAUUAAGCCCUUCUGCUGGUCGACUUUGGACACAUCUGGAACAAAUUAUCUCCACUUUUGGAAUCUGAAUAAAGAAAUAGCAAGUGGAGGCUGACAAUUUCCUUUCAAGCUUGAAUGAUGAAGAGAAAACAUCCCACGGCCUCAUCUGGCUGGCUUGCUGCGAGCUCUCAAGAAUAAGCCCUGGGGAGCACACCGCACUUCUGUUUUCUAGAAUUAAAAUCCUGUAAACUUGUAAGAUGUGCUCUGCAAUCAAACACUUCACUGAUGGAAUCAAAAGAGCCAGUGCCAGAGACUCCAACUCACAUGCAAAGUCAGCCCGAUGCCAUGCAAGGGCUCACCAACCCUGAUCUGUGACUUGAGGGGACAAAGAAGACACUCUUGUCAAAAUAACACAUCACAACCCUGGACCGCCGUGAGUGUUACAAACUUCUCCCUCAGGCAGUCAUGUUUCUGAAGGAUGAGUGAAUCCCUUUGGAUUUUUCUUUCAUGUCAUCUCAUGUGAAUGACUUUGUGUUUUAUGAUUCAUCUGAUUAUGGAACAUAAAAAUUGUUGGCUCCACCUUGAAGAAGCCAUCCUGCACAGAGGUGAAAGGGUACAGAGCUUUGAACUUGAGCCUCUUGGAAAUGCCAAGAUUCAGAUGUCAUCCAGCUCAGAGUCCCAGAGAGUGAUUUCACUACACUAAUUAUGCUGCAGUGCCAAGAAACAAGAUAAAACAUAUGAUGCUUCACAAACACUCAAAAGUCUAUACUUGUCGAAGCAAUUUAAAUAUUUUUGCCAUAAUUAUAAAACUAGAACACUAAGGUAACUUCAGUGAAUCUGCCUGAGGUAUCAUGCACAUUUAAUGAAGAGUUUGGUCACCUGACUCUUGCAUCCUACAGUAGUUCUGCCACUGGUGACUAGGGAAGUGGCCACAUCAUGAGGAAGUCUCCAUUUCCUUCAUCUCCUAUGGCACUGGAAAUGAAACCUAGGCCCUAGCACAUGCCAGGUAAAUACUCUGCCAUGAGAUAUAUCAACAGCUCUUGAUUUUAAGGACUGCCCUCCACAUUAAAUAAAUGAUGAGGAAGAAUAUCACAGGAUCAAAACCACCUUGGAAACAACAGCACUAGCUCCUGGCAUUGCUUUAAUGAGACUGCAGCAGAGGCUGAUCAUGAGAUGGAGGCAUCUCUAGCACUAGGAACUUCCAAUUCAGCAGACUUGGGCUAUUCACACUGUGUUCUACCAUAGCCAGCCUCUUAUCACAGAACAGAGACGCAUAGAUGCUGAGACAUCAGACAAGGAUGACAUUCAAGUACUUAUCUCAAUGGGCCACCCUUGGUAGUAGCAUGAAUAGCCAAUGUGAACAAUACCCCAGCCUUCUCUACAAAUCUGAUGGAGCAGGUAACUAUUGAGCAUGGCAUUCUUUGACAAUAGGACUAGUUCUCUUGUUUGAUGAGAUGAUGAUGAUUUCGGAUAAUAUGGAAGUAAAGUUAGAACUAUCGGUUGUUUCUUUACAGUUUUAUAUAGGACUUGUUUCAGAACUGAAUUAACAUAGCUAAGAUACAUGCAUGCCUCCAUCCAGCUUCUUUCAUUGUGAGUAGGUCACAUUAAUAAGGAAGACGCAGGGCAUCAUCUCACCAUAUGCUGGCAGUCACUUUACUGGACUUGAGAUAGAAUCAAAGUAAUUGCUCCAUAAAGCAAAGCAGUUAGUAAUAACCUAAACUCCAAAAGCCCUUUUAUUUUCUGAUUCAUAUCUUUAAUCAAUUUGCAACAUGAAGCAAUUGAGUUUUCCCUCUAGUUUCCCAAUUGUUUGCUCAGAAGGACUGCUCCACUGCCUUUGACUGACGUGACAUUAUUGCAUUUAUAUUGACUUUUACAGCAGAUUUUACAACAUUUGAGGUGCAUACGUUACAAGAAAAUGUAGCACGGGAACAUUUGAAGAUGAAAGUAAGCCAUAAAGAGAGUACCUAGCUACAGUGUCUGCCAUUUGCUGUAUGAGGAAAUUACAAAUGGAGACUAGCAAAUGGGGCGUGGUUCCUGGGUGUCAACUUCCAAAUACCCAAGAGUUGUCUCCAGUCUCUGUUGAGACCUGGAGCAGGAAAGAACAGUGAUGGGCUGGUUGCUUUUGGCUUUGCCAUAGCUAGGCUGUUCUGAAACAUUGCCUUAGGCAUGGAAAACCAGCAAAAGCAUUAAGUCCCUAGUUUCCAAGGUGGUGGCAAGAGGAUGCUGGAGCAGGUUUCCUGACUUGAGUAAUGGGGUGAUAUUAUUUUUGAAAACCCAUGAGUCUGUCAGCAGAGCUAGGGCUGAAAGAAGUGGCGAGGGGCUGCUCUGAGAUGAAAACCACUGCUGGCACUGCUCUUUUUGUCUUUGCCAUGCACCCCCGCCACGAGAGCCAUGACUGCAAGUGAGCUGGAACAAUUGGAAGGUGGCUUUCCACCUGUAAAGAGCCUUCCAUUUCUGCUUCCAUGUUCUGCUUUAAUUCAUAUCUCACCCUUCAAAGUUGAGCUUCCUGCCCUCACUCUGAGUAGUUUCCUAAGACAGCAUGCAAUGGACGCCAUGCCUUCGUCAAAAGUGUACCUUAUGGCUUCUGUUUUCACCUGGUUCAGUAGCCGGGCCUUCACUCAACAUCUGAGCAUUGUCGAGAUGUUGCGCUGUUUACCUUCCAGGGAUCUCAUCUGGAUUUCAGGCAUCCUAAGGGUAUUUCUGUCCUGUGCACUGCUGGCACUCCACACCUCCCCUUACCUGUAGCCUACUGCUUGUCUUCUUCCUUUAGGUUGUGAGAAGGUAAGUGAUCAAGUCUGGAGCUCACCUCCCUGUGUUUGGAUCCCACUGUUACCACUUCCUUUGAGACCAAAGGACAACUACUUAACUUUUUGGUGCCACACUUUUAACUGUGAAGUAGAUAAGAAUGAGACCUGUCACUGGAUUGUGAGUACUCACUUGAGGAUCUCAGAGCAACUCAGCAGAAUAAGGCCUACUGAAAUACAUGCUGCCAUUUGAUAUGAAUUAGCCCUGCACUCCUUCUAAGAAUGCCCUUCCCACAUUUUUAAUGAUCAAAAUACCAUCUUUUCAUAUUUAGCAAAAGUGUUUCCUCCCCAUUGAAGAAGACAGUCUACUUGCAAGCUAGAAUGAAGCUUCUUCUGGGUCCAUUCCUCCUUUCACAAGUGUUUCUUGCCUCAGAACUUGUACUUUUCUGGCCAGACAGAGCUCCCCUGAGCAUUUCCUGGCAGCACAGGUCACAACCAAGGCAUAAGAGGAAAAAUGAAAAUAUUUUCUGUUGCUUUCAAAAGUAUAAUUCCACUUGGAUCUCAUCACCUUCCUAUCUCAACUCCCUGAGCAUUGGAAUACAGGACUAUAGUCUUCAGAAAAGCACGUCCUUCAGUGGCUGACACGAGCUACCCAGAGUCUGUGGACUAUUCUGAGACAAGGCCCAGAAUUUGACUCCACCCCUCACGUCUACUAGGACAGUGAUCCUCUCCACUACAGUAUAAAGGCAUCUGUCACUUGUGCAGAUGAAAGCACAAGGUUUUCUCCUCUGUCUCCAUGGAGGUUCGGUUCCCUACUGUUCUCUCCACAUCAUGUUGUCAUUUCCUACUCUAAUGAUGAACCUACAUGACUCAGAGCACUUAGUAAGAGUAGGGAUCCGACACAUAAAUCUUCCUCCUACCCUUCUGUGCCUCAGAACUGCCUGGGCACCCUCUCUUGUACUGAGAAGUGUCUGUAACAGUUUUCUUGGUGGAAAUAACAGGGACUGACUCAUGUUAAGUGCUUGCUCUAUUUUCUGAAUAAAAGCUAAUAGAUUCCAGAACAGGUCCAGCCAGGUGUCUUCUCUAUAAGGCUGUGCCCUUUGAAGCAUUCCAUCUUCUACAGGAUCAUUACAUACUUAACACGAGAAAGACUGAAAAGAUUUCUAACCCCCCUGAAUAGGUUCAGUAUUGAUGGAAUUUUAGACUCAGUGCAAGCCGUGAAGCCUUGAAUGGUAUGUCUUUGAAUUGCACCCACUCAAUCUAUUUUUUUUCUCAUCAAGGGCUCAUAAGCACCAUAACAGCAAUGACCUUUUCCCUACUUCUGUGUUUAACCCCCAGCGGUCUUCAUUAUAUUGCUCUGUUCAACAAAUGUGGAUGUCCAGUUCUUUCGGCUCCUUCCAUCCCCAGACAAUUUAUGGUUGACUCUAAUAAAAUGUUUUGCAACUUA